rnacentral:misc_RNA from 1 species
AACAAGGCGUACCUGCGGACCUGCGGAGGGAUCAUCAUUGCUAACAACGUCCCAAGCUUUCGGAGGAGGGGAGAGAAUUUUUCUUUCUUUUUCCCUGGCUUUUGGGCUUUUACAAACAACUUUGAUACCCAAAAAGAGUCCUCUAUCUCUUUGGUUUUCAGCUUGUUUUUAUAUGGGUUGAUGGGAUGGCUGAAGGGAGAAAAGGAAAGAAACAUAUGCGGUUGCCUGAUAAAUCAAAUG